rfam:Caenorhabditis elegans chromosome IV
GUAUUGUUCCAAUUUUAGUAUAUGUUCUAGAAUUGGAACAAUACAGAGAAGAUUAGCAUGGCCCCUGCGCACGGAUGACACGCAAAUUCGUGAAGCGUUCCAAAUUUUU